rnacentral:tRNA from 1 species
GCCUGGUGGCUCAGUCAGUUGAGCAUCCGACUUCGACUCAGAUCAUGAUCUCACAGUUUGUGGGUUCGAGUUCCACAUCGGGCU